AGAGAACUAGAGGCUGCAGCGGCAGCAGUUGGAGCAUCUCACUGCGGGGCUCGGGAAGGAGGAAAGGAGUGAGCAUGUCCUGCUCCUGCAUGUCCCUGCUUAAGCUCAGGACUGGCCCUUCCAGGCCAAGGACCCCAGCAUAGACCCCAGGACAGGGCCCCAAGGAUCCCUGGCUCAUGAGAGCGGCUUGCUGGGCUGCCCCAAGAGAGCCUGAAGGAAACACAUUGUUGAGCUGAGCUGACGUCGCUGUUUCUUCCAGACUGCUCUCUAAAGUGGGCAGGGUAGCGACCGGCCGGCUCCGAUGGUGACGUCCCACUGCCAAGGGGUGGGAGUGGGGAGAGUCUCCACAGAGCUUCGGAGAAGCUGCUAAGAUGGAAAAGUGGAAACUUGGCAGACAGAUCCAGCCUCCCUGGCCACUGGCCCAUGCUCGUGGCUCCUGGAUGGCGCUGCCACGUUCUGAGCAGCUUGGGACAGGUGGAGAUCAGGACUGGCAGCUGCAAGGACACACCAGGUGAAUAGGUUUCUUUAUGGUCCUCACACCUGCAGAAAACCAGGAGGAGCCACAGAAACUAAAGAGAAUUUCCAAAAGGAGUCUAUGGUGAAGUCUCUGAGGAUGCAAAGAAGACAAGGAGAAUGAAAAUCCAAUGAAAGCCUGAUUGUAUUUGUUGACCUUAAGGAAAGUGAUUUUAUGGUACAGCCUCUCUGGAAGGGAGGGUGUGUUCGCUCACAGAAUGCAAAUACCCUUUGACCCCCUAAUCUUUCUUCUAGGAGUUUCUCCUACAGAUAAACUUAGAAGGGUGCUCAAAUAAGUAAGUUCAAGGAUAUCCUCUGAAGCAUUGCCGUAGUAUAAAAAAAGCACAGAUACCCUCAAAGGACAUCAUUAGGGGCCUGGUAAAAUAAAUUCCACACAGUGGAACACCGUGUAGCUCUUUAGAGAAUAAACAGCUCUCUAUAUGUGAUCUGGAA